GUCUUUGUAGCCCAGUUGGUCAGUGCGCUUGCUCAUCACCAUGGAAGUCUGGGGUUCGAUUCCCAGCUGCCCCA
rnacentral:tRNA from 1 species